GGCCGCGUGCAUUGCGCUGGGCCGAACUCAGUCAAAUUAUAUUUGACUGUGUUCUAUUUGACUAAGGUUGCUCGCUCGCGUGGCUGCCUCUUUGCUGCUGCUUGGUUGUGGUCUCUAACUAGAGCGGUGAGCUUGUAUUUACUACUACGUUUCGUGCCAAGCAUUGUUUUGGAGGGACGCAGUCUGUGCCACAUCAUUUCUCAACGUGGAGAAUACGUCAAUAGCGACCAGAAAUACCAUUUGGAAGAAACAAUGCCUCAAGCUGUAGGUCUCGUUGCGUCGUCCUCAAUUUGAGUAGAACCCUUUUCG